rnacentral:lncRNA from 1 species
AACAUUGUACUUCCUUUUCAGCUGAUGAGUGAACCUCCAGGGAGGGGUGUCAAAAAGGAGGCUGCUAAACCGAGACUGCCAAGCCUGUUGUAAACAUGACCCCUUUUAUGCAAAGCCCUUGCAAUAGUCUGCAAUGCUGUGAAGCUCGACCUUUCCCCCUGCAAGGAACCUUUGACCUAAUCCAACCAUCAUUUUGUUCAGAAAGGUGGGGGAAGGGUGGUAACAAAAGCUUGAGGUAAUGUUCUUGCUGUAAUAAAUUCAAGUUUUUCUGAACCCAAACUGAGGAAUUUCACCUGUGUACCUGAGUCUCCAGAAAGCUGCCUGCCUGGGACACCCAAAAGCCUUUUACUUCCCAGCUCACAUUACAGCUCUGCCCUUGGGGAUAUUUUUAAAAUUCCAGAUAGGCUUUCAUUUUCACUUUCAUACAUGUAUUGGAACCCUGCUUGACUUGUUUUCUCCUUCAGUCUUGCCGACACUUUACCAACCUGCUACCUACUUUGAUUGUUUGCAUUUAAAACAGACACUGGCAUGGCCACAGUUUGAAUUUUAAACUGUGCACAUAACUGAAAGUGUACUAGACUGUAUACCUUUUUACAUGUAGAGAUAUUCUUUAUCUUUAUAUAAGGAGAAUCACUUGGGAAAUGAUUCUACAAUUCAGUCUGUAAACUGUGUGUUCCAAGACAUGUCUGUUCUCCCUAGAUACUCAGUUUUAUACAAGUCAAUUGCUGAUCCAAAAGGUUACUGAAAUUUUAUAUGCUUACUGAUAUAUUUUACACUUUUUUAUGCUGCAUGUCCUAUAAAGAUUUCAAAUCUGCACAAUAAAAUUGUUUAACAGUU